GCCUUCGUGGUGUAGUGGUCAGCAUGUUCGGCGGGUAUUCCAGAAGUCCGUGGUUCGAUUCCCGGAGAGGGCA
rnacentral:tRNA from 1 species